GCCUGGCUUUCCCAAGCCCGGCCUUGCCGCGCCAGCCCGGCUGAUCUCUCCCUGUCCUGGGCUGGGCAGGCAGGCCUGGCUGAGCUGGGCUUUCCUGAGCCAGGCUUUCCCGAGCCUGGCUUUGCUGAGCCCAGCCUUGCCGAGCCAGCCCGGCUGAUCUCUCCGGCGCAGCCCGCAGGCCGCCGUGCCGGACCCGUGCCUGCCGCGGGACGCGCGGGACGAGCUGCGGCACCGGGGGCUGCGGCUGCUGCUGCGCGGCACCGGCGACUUCCAGCUGUGCCGGGAGAGGCUGCGGCCGCUGCUGAACCGCACCAACGGCACCCGCGGCUCCCUGAACGGCGUCUCCCAGCCGCCCCUGCAGCUCCAGAGCAGCGAGUUCUACGGCUUCUCCGAGUUCUACUACUGCACCGAGGACGUGCUCCGCAUGGGCGGCGACUACAGCGCCGCCCGCUUCGCCAGAGCCGCGCAGGAUUACUGUGCCACCAGGUGGUCGGUGCUGCGGGAGCGCUUCGAGCGCGGCCUCUACGCCCCCCACGCGGAUCUGCACCGCCUCAAGUGAGCGGGGUCGGGCUCUGGGCUUUGGGGUUUGCCUUGGUUUGAAAAGUCAGGAGGCUGUGAAGGGAGGCAAGGGCCUCCUGUGUAAUGGAAAAGGUAAAUCCCUUCCCGCCGAAUUGCCCCCAUUUCAAAAUUAAAAGGCUUUCAGGUAAAGAUAUGGGAAUAACAGGUCUUUACUAGGAAAAAAAACUAAAUUUAAAAAGUGUAAUUAGUACAAACAAAACUAGUGAUGGAGUCAGAAUCUGAGACACUGAGGAGUCAGGGUGUUGGGAAUAGUCCAGUUAAAUGGUGGCUGCUCCUCCUGAGGGGCAGAUGAAAUGGUGCUGAAGGGUGAAAUCUGUAGAAGGGUGGAGUUUGCUCUGAAGAUCUGGUGAUGGAGUAGCUGGGCCUGGUCUUCCUCUGGGGAUCCAGCAGAGAAGAAGCUGGGAAGAAGCUGGGAAGAAGCUGCUCCUCUGGGAACCCCACAGAGGGGCUGCCCGGUGUCCCAAAAAGUGUUGAUUUUAUGCCGGUAUGGAUGCUUGGCUCCUCCCUCUGGGCGGAGCAUCUCACAAUGGAAUGAUGGAACUUCACCGGACACAGUGAAUCGUUCAAUGGCCCGGAAACAGCAGAGAUCUCCCCAUGGGAGACGCAGCUCCGGGAAGAGAUGAGAAACCUGCCCCACCUCCAGCAAGAGGAAACGUGCUUAUCUUAAAAUCCAGGACAGGGUUUGACCCGGGAGUUCCUCCUGCCAGGGCCUGUCCCUUUGCUGGGUCACUGGAAGUGGGAAAAGAACUUGGAAAAGCUGAUAAUUGUAGGAGAAUCCCUUUGGAAAGCUGAGAAGUCCAGAAAAAUCCCUUGGGAAAGCUGAGAAUUGUAGGAGAAUCCCUUGGGAAAGCUGAGAAUUGUGGAAAAACUCCCCUGGGAAAGUUGAGAAUUGUAGGAAAAUCCCUUGGGAAAGCUGAGAAGUCCAGAAAAAUCACUUGGGAAAGCUGGGAAUUGUAGGAAAAUCCCUUGGGAAAGCUGAGAAUUGUGGUAAAAUCCCUUGGGAAAGCUGAGAAUUGUGGAA
ensembl:lncRNA